GUAGUGACUUGUAAAUCAUUUAUUCGAAAAUGUUGAAGCUUAUACGUGUUACAACGCUUUUUUGCGUUAUAUAUUUUACUAAAGCUUCUGUAAAUUUGGGUUCGGGUCUCUGGUACAUACACACAAUUCUCGACUGCAAUGAUGAAUUACCGCGAAUGGUAGGCAACAUAACCAUCGACAAACAUAAAUUGAAUCGUACGCAUGACAUAUAUGACUUGGACAUGGAUGUAUAUGAAACCGUUGGGAAUACCUUUGGGGUACUAAUCAAUUUUUACAAAAAGACAGACGGCGGUAGCAAGCUAUUUCAAGUGAUGGCAGAUAAUGAUAUAGAAAAGUUUGUUGAAAAGUAUGCUCCUAAUAACGCGAAGGUAGUGUUUACUAAGGCUGGAAUGGAUCCCCCAGGUUUUCCUGUCCAAGCGGGUUCAUACAAAAUAGAAGACUUCUUCUUUGACCAUUGUGAAUUGCCAGAUAUUGCCAUAUAUGGGGAGUUCACCGUAGAUGCAUUUAUCGUGAAAGAUGAUAUACGAGUGGCAUGCUUCAGGGGACACGUUGAAUUCAAGGAGGACGAAGACGAUAUUUGCAAACGAACUUCUUCCACAGCAGACCAGAUAGGGAAUUUGAAGACGUUCUAUUGAAAAUAUCCUGAUAUUUAUAAAGACAUGUUUUCUGUUUCAUAUAUUUUGUUUAUCAAUGUAAUGUGCUUUGUG